ensembl:ncRNA F43D9.9 ncRNA
AAGAGGAGACACUUUCUUUUUUUCUUCUUCUUAUUCGUGCGCUUCUUCUUCUUUUCCUACUUUGUUUGGAAAGUGAGUGAGGCACUGGACCACUCGAGAAGAAGAAGUAGAAGAGGCCACCCCAUU